rnacentral:rRNA from 1 species
GGGAAAGUUGCAAAGAACUUUGAAGAGAGAGUUCAAGAGUACGUGAAACUGCUCAGAGGCAAACGGGUGGGCCCUCGAAAUCCUCUUGCGGAGGGAUUCAGUCGGGAGCGGAAGGGGCGCAGCGAAGACCGGACCCGUAGAACGGAAGGUCCCGCUGCGCGGUCCCGACCGUGCCCGACGCACUUCCCGCCGCACUUCGGACGCCGCAACCGAUCGGGUAGCUGCGAGAGUCGGCCUUGAGGCGGUCCCAGGCUGGAGACCGGAGGAGCGGACUUCGGUUCGUUCUCCCGGUUGUUCGCGGGGCCGUGCGUGGCGCGACACCCGAUCGAGGUACGAGUUCCCCGUGCGGGGAACGCGCCGUCUCCUUCGCCUUCGUGACGCGGAGCCCGUGCCAGUGAGCGCCGGCGCCGAUCGGAACCACACGUGAGCGGUGGCCGGUCCGCCGGAGAGCCGUCGUUGGGCACGCGGCGUAUUCCGCCGAGGGUCGUCGCAGUCGGUUGGCGGCGAGUAGGUCGGUCACCCACCCGACCCGUCUUGAAACACGGACCAAGGAGUCUAACAUGUGCGCGAGUCGCAGAGUCUUGAACAGGCUCUCGGGCGCAAUGAAAGUGAAGGUCUCCCCCCGAUUCCGGGGGGAACCGAGUUGGGACUCCCGUCGCUGCGGCGUGCGGGAAGCACCAACGGCCCGUCCCGACCGAUCCGUCGGCGGGGCGGAGUCAGAGCGUACACGUUGGGACCCGAAAGAUGGUGAACUAUGCCUGGGCAGAACGAAGCCAGAGGAAACUCUGGUGGAGGUUCGUAGCGGUUCUGACGUGCAAAUCGAUCGUCAGACCC